AUUGAACGCUGGCGGCAGGCCUAACACAUGCAAGUCGAACGGAGUGGCGGACGGGUGAGUAAUGUCUGGGAAACUGCCCGAUGGAGGGGGAUAACGUCCGGAAACGGGCGCUAAUACCGCAUACUAUCAGAUGAGCCUAGGUGGGAUUAGCUAGUUGGUGGGGUAAAGGCCUACCAAGGCGACGAUCCCUAGCUGGUCUGAGAGGAUGACCAGUCACACUGGAACUGAGACACGGUCCAGACUCCUACGGGAGGCAGCAGUGGGGAAUAUUGGACAAUGGGCGAAAGCCUGAUGCAGCCAUGCCGCGUGUGUGAAGAAGGUCUUCGGAUUGUAAAGCACUUUCAGUUGGGAGGCGUUACCAACAGAAUAAGCACCGGCUAACUUCGUGCCAGCAGCCGCGGUAAUUC
rnacentral:rRNA from 1 species